CACGUAGGCGGACUGGAAAGUUGGAGGUGAAAUCCCAGGGCUCAACCUUGGAACUGCCUUCAAAUCUAUCAGUCUGGAGUUCGAGAGAGGUGAGUGGAAUUCCGAGUGUAGAGGUGGAAUUCGUAGAUAUUCGGAGGAACACCAGUGGCGAAGGCGGCUCACUGGCUCGAUACUGACGCUGAGGUGCGAAAGUGUGGGAGCAAACA
rnacentral:rRNA from 1 species